rnacentral:rRNA from 1 species
AUGAACAGAUUUUGGAGGUUCAUAGCCGACAAGGAGCUCCUUGACCUUUACUUACACGGACGCCGAUAUACUUGGUCUAGCGAGCGCGACGCUCUGACCCUUGUCCACAUUGAUCGCGUGCUUUGCACCUCCGGUUGGGAGAUCGCUCCUCCCAACUGCUUGCUCCAGUGCCUCUCCUUCGCGGCCUCAGAUCACUGCCCCCUGCUCGUGGAUUGUGUCUCUCACCCGCCCGGCGCUCGCCGCUUCCACUUCGAGCAUUUUUGGCCGAAGCUCGACGGGUUCCACCACGUGGUCUCCGAGGCGUGGAACUCUGUCCAUCCUGACCCUGAUCCCUAUCGAUGCAUCGUGGCGCGUCUCAAGGCCACCGCUCGUCGCCUCCAGUCUUGGAGUGCACGCACCAUCGACAAACCACAACGAGGCUUGGUUGCGGCAAAAGCUCAAGAGCUCCUACCUUGGACUGGCCUCCCUUGA